GAUGAAGAACGUAGCGAAAUGCGAUACUUGGUGUGAAUUGCAGAAUCCCGUGAACCAUCGAGUCUUUGAACGCAAGUUGCGCCUCAAGCCAUUAGGUUGAGGGCACGUCCGCCUGGGCGUCACAUAUCGUUGCCUGAUGCCAGUUUCCUCGUGAUGGGUGACUGUGCAGGGCGAAUGAUGGCUUCCCGUGAGCAUUGUUGCCUCAUGGUUGGUUGAAAAUUGAGUCCUUGGUAGGGAGCGCCGUGAUAGAUGGUGGUUGAGUGACGAACGAGACCCAAUCAUGUGAGACCCCUACCGAAUUUGGCCUUCAUGACCCACAUGCGUCUUUGGAACGCUCAUGACGAGACCUCAGGUCAGGCGGGGCUACCCGCUGAGUUUAAGCAUAUCAAUAAGCGGAUGA
rnacentral:misc_RNA from 1 species